rnacentral:rRNA from 1 species
UGGGGAAUAUUGGACAAUGGGCGAAAGCCUGAUCCAGCCAUGCCGCGUGUGUGAAGAAGGUCUUCGGAUUGUAAAGCACUUUAAGUUGGGAGGAAGGGCAUUAACCUAAUACGUUAGUGUUUUGACGUUACCGACAGAAUAAGCACCGGCUAACUCUGUGCCAGCAGCCGCGGUAAUACAGAGGGUGCAAGCGUUAAUCGGAAUUACUGGGCGUAAAGCGCGCGUAGGUGGUUUGUUAAGUUGGAUGUGAAAUCCCCGGGCUCAACCUGGGAACUGCAUUCAAAACUAACUGACUAGAGUAUGGUAGAGGGUGGUGGAAUUUCCUGUGUAGCGGUGAAAUGCGUAGAUAUAGGAAGGAACACCGGUGGCGAAGGCGACCACCUGGACUAAUACUGACACUGAGGUGCGAAAGCGUGGGGAGCAAACA